AGAGGUGUAGUUCAAAGGUAGAACAACGGGCUUCAACCCCGUGUGUUGCGGGUUCGAGUCCUGCCACCUCUGCCA
rnacentral:tRNA from 1 species